rnacentral:tRNA from 1 species
GCUCGGAUAGUGUAGAGGCCUAUCAUGGGGCCCUGUCGAGGCUCCGACUCGGGUUCAAAUCCCGAUCCGAGCGC